ACCCGCUGAACUUAAGCAUAUCAAUAAGCGGAGGAAAAGAAACCAACAGGGAUUGCCCUAGUAACGGCGAGUGAAGCGGCAGCAGCUCAAAUUUGAAAUCUGGCGUCUUUGGCGUCCGAGUUGUAAUUUGCAGAGGGCGCUUUGGCAUUGGCGGCGGUCCAAGUUCCUUGGAACAGGACGUCACAGAGGGUGAGAAUCCCGUACGUGGUCGCUAGCCUUUACCGUGUAAAGCCCCUUCGACGAGUCGAGUUGUUUGGGAAUGCAGCUCUAAAUGGGAGGUAAAUUUCUUCUAAAGCUAAAUACUGGCCAGAGACCGAUAGCGCACAAGUAGAGUGAUCGAAAGAUGAAAAGCACUUUGGAAAGAGAGUUAAAAAGCACGUGAAAUUGUUGAAAGGGAAGCGCUUGCAGCCAGACUUGCCUGUAGUUGCUCAUCCGGGUUUUUACCCGGUGCACUCUUCUAUAGGCAGGCCAGCAUCAGUUUGGGCGGUUGGAUAAAGGUCUCUGUCAUGUACCUCUCUUCGGGGAGAACUUAUAGGGGAGACGACAUGCAACCAGCCCGGACUGAGGUCCGCGCAUCUGCUAGGAUGCUGGCGUAAUGGCUGU
rnacentral:rRNA from 1 species